CGGGGGGCUGCAGCAAGGAAUCUUGUGCAAUGGGCGAAAGCCUGACACAGCGACGCCGCGUGGGGGAAGAAGGCUCUCGGGUUGUAAACCCCUUUUCUCAGGGAAGAAUAAUGACGGUACCUGAGGAAUAAGUCUCGGCUAACUACGUGCCAGCAGCCGCGGUAAUACGUAGGAGGCGAGCGUUAUCCGGAUUCACUGGGCGUAAAGAGGGCGCAGGCGGCUUUUCAAGUCGGAUGUAAAAUCUCCUGGCUCAACUAGGAGGGACCACCCGAUACUGUUGGGCUAGAGUGCAGCAGAGGGAGGUGGAAUUCCCGGUGUAGUGGUGAAAUACGUAGAUAUCGGGAGGAACACCAGUGGCGAAGGCGGCCUCCUGGGCUGUUACUGACGCUGAGGCCCAAAAGCGUGGGGAGCGAACAGGAUUAGAUACCCGGGUAGUC
rnacentral:rRNA from 1 species